rnacentral:rRNA from 1 species
UACGUAGGGUCCGAGCGUUGUCCGGAAUUACUGGGCGUAAAGAGCUCGUAGGUGGUUUGUCGCGUUGUUCGUGAAAACUCACAGCUUAACUGUGGGCGUGCGGGCGAUACGGGCAGACUUGAGUACUGCAGGGGAGACUGGAAUUCCUGGUGUAGCGGUGGAAUGCGCAGAUAUCAGGAGGAACACCGGUGGCGAAGGCGGGGUCUCUGGGCAGUAACUGACGCUGAGGAGCGAAAGCGUGGGGAGCGAACAG